UGCAUCAUCUCUCAUUCUUCUUCAAAACACCACAUCAUCUCUUCUUCCUUCCAAAACCCUUUUCUAUUCUCUCUGUGAACACAGAGAAGCUAUAGAAAUGUCCAUCGUUGCCGACCUAGGAGGUUGUACUCAUGCUUCAAUGUUUGACCCAGCUCUCAUUUCUUCUGCUAUUGGAUGAUAUGGGCGAUGGCCGACUCAUCAACUUCUUCAAUGUCUCUCAUCUCAAACAAAUCAAAACCCUAAUCCCUCACCCACCACCGCCCUCAUGUCUCACCUAACCACCACCAUCGUUCGCCGCCAAGCCACACCAGUGGAGAAACCGUGACAACUUGAUGAACGGUUGCUUCGGAGCAGACGCAAAGAUAACUUUUAGGGUUCAUGUAUGAAUCUGGUCUUUAUUCUUGAAUUUUUUUGAUAUUUGAUGACAGUGGUAUGAAUCUUUUAUUGAUUUUUUGAAAAAUUAUUAAUCUUUUCUUGAAUUUUUGGGGGGAUUUGGUGUGAUGCGUAUGGAUAACUUGGGAUUUGAUGAGAUGGGUGUUCAAGUGAAUUUUAGGUUACAAUUGGUUAGCUUGUAGGAAUGUUGUAAUAUGUUGUUUAUCUGAUCUAUUUGGGACCGCAUCCUCCUUUAAUUCUAGGCUGCUCUAGAUCAUUUGAACCAGUGAACAGAUAUAGAGACUUCUCUUGGGGCUGUGGUUACUAAAAAUAAUCAAGACAAGAUCCGUGAAACAACCUGUCUAAACGGAGGUAUUACUUUGCACUUGGCUGCUAUCAAUGGACACAUGUGUUGCAUUCGGAUCCUACUGUCUCAUUAUAUCCCUAGCAUUCCUACAUUUUUAUAAACUUUUCAAAAAAAUCAAGAAUUUAAGAAUGUGUGUCUGAAUCCAUUGACCGGUAUGCUUCAAGAAACGUUGAUUUAUCGUGUAUUAAUAUUUGUGAUUUUCUCUUGAGUUCUUUUGUGUAUGGGGACUGAUAAAUUUAAAACUUUAUUUGCAGAACCUCACUUUAUGAUAUAAUUAGCAACCUCCUGAUGGGCGAUGGGGGUGUGACUGCUCUUUAUUUGACUGCGGGUUUUAUGUGAGAUGUGUGGUUUAAUGGAAUUAAUCUAAACCACACAUCAUAUUACAUCUACAAACUAAGAGAUGAAAUGGUUUCAUCAUUUCACAAGGAGAUACUAUACACAAAAUCAGCUGCACAUAACGAAAAAUGCAUUUUGGGUGCAUUAGUGAGUUAACAAACCGUGAAGCAUAUUGCGCACCUCAUCCAGUUAAUACAGCUUAUGUCUUUAUGUUUGCUUAUUCAUUGUUAACAAUUGCCUAACGAUUACAAAACCUCCUACUUUUUAAAGUCAUUUAUUGGGUAUUUGAUGUUA